rnacentral:misc_RNA from 1 species
GACGUAGGAUGCGAGCGUUGUCCGGAAUUAUUGGGCGUAAAGCGUACGUAGGCGGUUCUUUAAGUUUGGGGUUAAAGACCAAGGCUCAACCUUGGGAGUGCCCUGAAUACUGGGGGACUGGAGGGCGGCAGAGGAAAGUGGAAUUCCCAGUGUAGCGGUGAAAUGCGUAGAUAUUGGGAGGAACACCAGUGGCGAAAGCGACUUUCUGGGCCGUUCCUGACGCUGAGGUACGAAAGCCAGGGGAGCAAACGGG